CAAUCAAGCAACAAAACGGCCAUUAUUUACACCUAUGACAUGAUGGCAAACUUGGCCUUCCUGAGAGGAGAGCUGGAGAAGGCUGAAAAGCUUUUCAAAGCCACCAUGAGCUACAUGCUCGCCGGGGACGUAAAGCAAG